rnacentral:rRNA from 1 species
CACAAACGCGCAAGACGGGAUCUCAUAUUCCAACCAGGAUCAGAAAGGCCCAAGGGGGGUCAGGUACGCCCUAGGCGAUUGAGUACCGGCGUUACGGCCGUAAGAUUCCCAGUGGCGAUUUGGGGGAAGCCCUGCCUGAGGAGCUCCCGAAAACGAAGCUCCGGUUCCGGGGGAAGAGGUGCAACUGAACUAAAGGAAUUACGGAAGGACCCCGGAGUGAGCCUGCGCUAAUUUGACUCAACACGGGAAAACUCACCCGGCCCGGACACCGUAAGGAUUGACAGAUUGAUAGCUUUUUCAUGAUUCGGGUGGUUGGUGGUGCAUGGCCCGUUCUUUAGUUCGUGGGAUCGAUUUUGUCUGGGUUUAUUUCCGAUAACGAGCGAGACUCCAGCCUACUAACUAGUACGAGCAUUGCCUCUUGUGCUCGGCACUUUCUUAGAGGGAUUGGCUGCGUCUAGGGGUACGAAACGGAGCAAUAAACAGGUCUGGUGAUGCCCUUUAGAUGUCCGGGGGCUGCACCCGCUACACUGGGCAAAGGCAACGUGCUUUUCCGUCUC